UUGGCGGGCUCCGUGCUACGGCANNNNCCGUCCGCGCGCACUCCACGUCAGUGAUGCCUCAAGAGUUUCUUGUGCGUCGAUUGGAUUCCUGUAUUUGCUACCUGUCGUAAAGGAAUGCUGCCUCUCAUUGACCCUUUCCUUCCUCGACUCGUGCGGUCAGGGGGAGGACAUCGUAGCAGCGCCUGUGCCCCCUGCAUCGUGCGUGCCUCAUGGCGCGCACCUUACGACGGUUCCCAGGUUGCUGCUUGAUGCCUCGGAUACGGAAAAUUCGGUGGGCUUUGGGUGUUUGCACCCUCGAUGUCC
rnacentral:misc_RNA from 1 species